GAACAGUAAGCAUUAACCAAUCGAAGUACAAGCCAGAGCGCGUGGACAGCUAAUGAAUCUAUAUAAGUACAAACUUGUAAACAAUAAAGGUCUUUGGUUUUACCCGCACCAGAGUCUGUGAAUCAAUCCCUACAAAUGGCGCCCAACGUGGGGCACGAAACUACAGCGUGGAACGUACGCCGGUAGGGACUCCAGUUGGACGAAUACAUCAGCGGAGGAGCUGAACGACCCGGGUCUCAAUCACCAAAUAAAGGGAACCCUUUUUCAACAUGUCUUGUCGGAGUCCUGGCAGAUACCUGGCCCAACACUAUCCAGUCCCAGCAUUUGUGCUCCAGUUUCAACGCCUGUGUCGACAACUGGGACGGGUGGAGUGCUCAUUUACCCCAAUUACCACAGGAGCUGCAAGAACUUGAACUCCUGGGUUCAGUUAAUAUGGACAGCUGUUUGUAUUUCAAUUAUGCAGGGCGCAAUCGAACAACGGCGCAAAAUAUUAACUCGUCUCUGUCCAUAUAUAGAAAUGAUACAGCCUAGUGCAACUAUACUAGCCCGAAUAUUUCCAAAUCUAGCAACGCGCCUCUGGUGCUUCCCUCAGGGAUCUUUUUUAUCUGUGGCGAUCGCGCAUGGGGAGGAAUACCAUCUCAUAUAAAAGGAGGGCCUUACAGUUUGGGGAGGCUCACUUUGCUAACACCAAAUACAUCAAUAAUUUUUAAUCACUGGCGCUCCAAGCGAUCGACCCACGCCUUUAAGGCAGAGUGCAGGGAUGAUGUGGAAUUUUGGAACAGUGAAAAGAUAAUUAUGGCUUCUAUAGCUGCGCCAGGGGUGGCAGCCUCGCAGGCCUUAGCCACACUAAAUAAGUUGGGAUGUUGGCUAGCCAAGCAGACUAAUGCUACUUCUCAAGCCUUGAGUAGUUUGCUUUUAGAUGUUGAUUCUGUAAGACAUGCAACCUUGCAAAAUCGCGCAGCAAUUGAUUUUUUGCUUUUAGCACAGGGGCACGGGUGUGAAGAGCUUGACGGUAUGUGUUGUAUGAAUCUCUCCGAUCACUCGGAAUCUAUUCACCGUAGCAUUCAACAAUUGAAAGAGGGAAUUAAGAAGUUGCAAGUUGAUGAUGGAUGGGGUUGGAUAGAAAAUCUUUUUAGUGGCUGGGGAAUUAGUGGUUGGCUUAAAGGUUUGAUAAAGAUUGGGCUAAUUUUAUUGUGUGCUAUUUGUGGCCUCCUUCUCAUUAUUCCGUGUUUGCUAUCCUGUCUGCAAAGGGCCCUGCAAAGGAUGGUAAACACUGCAUUUUGGGUAGAAAAACAAAAAGGGGGAAUUGUGGGAUUCGCAGGGAGUGUUGCGAGCGACCUUGAACAAUUCGACAUAGCCUUGAAAGACAUAGAAUGAGGAAGUAAGCAAGCAAGCGCACAGAAAGGAAACUGAAGACAGAAAUAACUUGGAACACGGAUACAGGUCCAAAGAUAAAAGACGCGUGUCUUGCUCAACAGCACCAAUCAGAAACUUAGCUGUGGCGAGUGAACAGUAAGCAUUAACCAAUCGAAGUACAAGCCAGAGCGCGUGGACAGCUAAUGAAUCUAUAUAAGUACAAACUUGUAAGCAAUAAAGGUCUUUAGUUUUACCCGCA